UUGGAGACGGAUUGCCUGGAGGUCGCCAACCUCAGACUCACUCGCCACGACUCUCGCUCGAUCGUGGCUCCUAUCUUAUUAGAAAUUGGAGAGCUUACUGCUAGUUUCAAUUCUUUUGUUAUUUGUCAUAUUGUAAGAUCAGCCAAUGGUCCUGCUUACAUCUGUGCUAAGCAUGCUUGCACGAUUGACGUGACCGAAAGCUGGAUCGAUAGUACUACUAGCUUCCUAAUCAGUAGCCUGUUGGCGGACUGUUCGGCGAACGCUUUUAUUAAAUAA
rnacentral:rRNA from 1 species